GAUGAACGCUAGCGGCAGGCUUAAUACUUGCAAGUCGAGGGGCAGCAGGACUGUAGCAAUACAGUUGCUGGCGACCGGCAAACGGGUGCGGAACACGUACGCAACCUACCCAAAACUGGGGGAUAGCCCGGGGAAACCCGGAUUAAUACCUCGUAACCUUUUUAAGUGGCAUCACUUGAUAAGUAUAGCUCCGGCGGUUUUGGAUGGGCGUGCGCCUGAUUAGGUAGUUGGUGCGGGUAACGGCCCACCAAGCCUGCGAUCAGUAACUGGUGUGAGAGCACGACCAGUCACACGGGCACUGAGACACGGGCCCGACUCCUACGGGAGGCAGCAGUAAGGAAUAUUGAUCAAUGGACGCAAGUCUGAACCAGCCAUGCCGCGUGAAGGAUGAAGGUCCUCUGGAUUGUAAACUUCUUUUAUGGGGGACGAAACCCGGAUAUUCUUAUCCGAUUGACGGUACCUCAGGAAUAAGCACCGGCUAACUCCGUG
rnacentral:rRNA from 1 species